AUGGCGACCUCCGGGAGAGAGCCCAAGUUUCCGAAGCCUUCCUCUCUCCAGGGAGGCAUGAACAUUUCACGAACUGGAGCGCAGUCGAAAGUGCUGCACUCAGAAAAGGAUCGUCCCUCUUGCUGGUCUCCUUUUCCCAUGGGUCAGAGACCGAAAAAUACUUUACGCAAAGCCUCCUCCUACCUGCUCCAGCACCUCAUUCACCGCUAUCAGGAGUCAGACGUGGACAGAGAUGAGGGCGACGGCGAGGACGAAGUGGAAUCCGAGGAGUCCUCAGAUUCCGAAAUGCUGAAUUUUGAGGGAGGAUUUGAUGGGGUCCUGAGAGAGGAGGUCGUGGCUGAGAAGCUCUACCAACUAGGGCGCUCAGGCUCUGGGACGGAGCAGGUCUACCUCAGCCUGACUUUAUCAGAUCUUGAUUUAACUGACGUUAGCAUCCUCUGUGGAUAUGUUCACCUACAGAAGUUGGAUCUUUCAGUAAAUAAAAUUGAAGAUUUGUCUUGUGUGAGCUGUAUGCCUUAUCUUCUAGAACUUAAUGCUUCUCAGAAUCACCUGAAAACAUUCUUCAAUUUCAAGCCACCCAAAAAUCUCAAGAAGGUGGAUUUUUCCUACAACCAAAUUUCAGAAAUGUGCAGUUUAUCGGCAUACGAGUCUCUCACAAAACUAAUUUUGGACAGCAAUGAGAUAACUGAAAUCAGUGGACUAGAGCUGUGUAGCAGUCUUAACUACCUUAGUUUGGCCAACAACAAGAUCACAACCAUUAACGGCUUAGGCAUGUUACCAAUCAAAAUACUUUGUCUGAGCAAUAACCAGAUUGAGAAGAUCACAGGUUUGGAUGACCUAAGAGUCCUGCAGAUCCUCGAUCUGAGCCAGAAUCAGAUCAGUAGCCUCCAAGGCUUAGAGGGUCAUGAUUUCUUGGAAGUGAUCAACCUCGAGGAUAAUAAGAUUGCUGAGCUGGGUGAAAUAGAAUACAUUGAAAACCUACCUCUCCUUCGAGUUCUCAAUCUUCUGAGAAAUCCAAUUCGGGAAAAGCCUGACUAUUGGUCCUUCGUCAUUUUUAUGCUACUUCGAUUAACAGAAUUGGAUCAGAAGAAGAUUAAAGUGGAUGAAAAGAUCUCGGCCGUGAAUAAAUACAACCCUCCCCCGGAAGUGGUCGCGGCCCAAGACCACAUGACCCACGUGGUCAACAGCGUGAUGCAGCCACAGAGGAUCUUUGACAGCACCCUGCCUAGUCUGGAUGCCCCGUACCCCAUGCUGGUAUUGGCCGGUCCUCAAGCAUGUGGUAAACGAGAACUCGCUCACCGCCUCUGCAGACAGUUCAGCACUUACUUCAGAUACGGGGCCUGUCACACAACCAGACCGCCUUACUUUGGAGAAGGAGAUCGGGUUGAUUAUCAUUUUAUCUCUCAAGAAGUUUUUGAUGAAAUGCAAAACAUGGGGAAAUUCAUUCUAACCUAUAAUUACGGUAAUCACAAGUACGGAUUAAGUAGGGACACCAUAGAAGGUAUCGCAAGAGAUGGUUUAGCAAGCUGUGUUCAUAUGGAAAUAGAAGGUGUAAGAAGUUUAAAACAUUCCUAUUUUGAGCCUCGAUAUAUCCUGGUGGUACCCAUGGACAAGCAAAAAUAUGAAGGCUACUUGAGGAGAAAAGGAUUAUUCAGUCGUGUAGAGAUUGAAUUUGCUGUCUCCAGAGUGGACCUUUAUAUUAAAAUUAAUCAGAAAUAUCCAGGGUACUUUGAUGCAGUAAUCAAUGCAGAUGAUCUGGAUGUUGCCUACCAAAAGCUCAGUAAGCUUAUUAGAGAAUACCUUGGAUUUUCUGAGGUGACUGCCAUGAGUUUGGCUCCAACCACAGAUAUUAAGAAACCUCAGCUGAAACCUGAAAAGACUUCUAGGAAGUUAAGAGUUUCAAAUGAGUUUGAGUCCCUGGAUUUUGCAGACAGAAACUACUUUGUGAAAUUAUGGGCCAGACUUUCAGGCAAAAAAACGCCAGUGGAAAGAGAGUCUUUGGAGAGACAGUAUGAGACAGCCCGGCAGACCCUAAUGGGAAAUACGCCUCCUCAGCACACGUUCCUAUUUCAAAGGGGUCUAGUACCAGCACCCAUCAUCAAUAAUCUACGUUAUUUUACAGCAUUAGAACUCAAGAAAAGUUUUGAGCUUUAUGGGGAUUAUUUUAAAGCCCCCUUUGGACCUUCUGGAAAGAGUGUCGUGGAUUCCAGUGAUUCCAUGCAAUAUCCUGAAUUACUUCAGUCUUGUCCAUGGCCAAAAGAUUUGCCUUUUCGGCCUCCAGAAGACAGUAUUUGUUCACAGCCAGGCUCAAUAAUAGGUGAUACUCUAUAUAAAGCAUUUCCACAUGGAAAAGGUUCUCUCCAACAUAGAAGACACACGGUCUCAGCCAUCAGUCGCCCAGGUUCCAACAUCAAACCCACCCUCCCUCCGAUACCUCAGGGCCGCAAGUAG
rnacentral:lncRNA from 1 species